AGUAUGAAAUGGUUGUGGUUAAUUGAAAUGUCAAGCUACCUAAUAAGCAGAGGUGAGCGAGGGCAUGCAGCCGUAUUAAGAUGCUAGGUUUCAUAAGCAUGUUUAUGUCUCUGUAUCAAUAUGGCAAAUACA